rnacentral:rRNA from 2 species
UGACCUCAAAUCAGGUCGGAGUACCCGCUAACU